rnacentral:rRNA from 1 species
GUUAGGAAUAUUGGACAAUGGACGAAAGCCUGAUCCAGCCAUGCCGCGUGAACGAUGAAGGCCUUCGGGUUGUAAAGUUCUUUAGCCGAUGAUUAUAAUGACUGUAGUCGGAAAAUAAGCCCCGGCUAACUUCGUGCCAGCAGCCGCGGUAAUACGAAGGGGGCGAGCGUUAUUCGGAAUCACUGGGCGUAAAGCGUGCGUAGGCGGUUUUGUAAGUUAGGAGUGAAAGCCCAGGGCUCAACCUUGGAAUUGCUCUUAAAACUGCAAGGCUCGAAUCUCGGAGAGGAUAGCGGAAUUUCCAGUGUAGCAGUGAAAUGCGUAGAUAUUGGAAGGAACACCAGUGGCGUAAGCGGCUAUCUGGACGAGUAUUGACGCUGAGGCACGAAAGCGUGGGGAUCAAACAGGAUUAGAUACCCUAGUAGUCC